CCUACGGGUGGCAGCAGUGGGGGAUAUUGCACAAUGGGGGAAACCCUGAUGCAGCGACGCCGCGUGUAGGAAGACGGUCCUCUGGAUUGUAAACUCCUUUUGUUAGAGAAGAUAAUGACGGUAUCUAACGAAUAAGCACCGGCUAACUCCGUGCCAGCAGCCGCGGUAAUACGGAGGGUGCAAGCGUUACUCGGAAUCACUGGGCGUAAAGAGCGCGUAGGCGGGAUAGCAAGUCAGAUGUGAAAUCCUAUGGCUUAACCAUAGAACUGCAUUUGAAACUGUUAUUCUAGAGUAUGGGAGAGGUAGGUGGAAUUCUUGGUGUAGGUGUAAAAUCCGUAGAGAUCAAGAGGAAUACUCAUUGCGAAGGCGACCUGCUAGAACAUAACUGACGCUGAUGCGCGAAAGCGUGGGGAGCAAACAGGAUUAGAUACCCGGGUAGUC
rnacentral:rRNA from 1 species